rnacentral:rRNA from 1 species
GAUGAACGCUGGCGGCGUGCCUAAUACAUGCAAGUCGAGCGAACAGACGAGGAGCUUGCUCCUCUGACGUUAGCGGCGGACGGGUGAGUAACACGUGGAUAACCUACCUAUAAGACUGGGAUAACUUCGGGAAACCGGAGCUAAUACCGGAUAAUAUAUUGAACCGCAUGGUUCAAUAGUGAAAGACGGUUUUGCUGUCACUUAUAGAUGGAUCCGCGCCGCAUUAGCUAGUUGGUAAGGUAACGGCUUACCAAGGCAACGAUGCGUAGCCGACCUGAGAGGGUGAUCGGCCACACUGGAACUGAGACACGGUCCAGACUCCUACGGGAGGCAGCAGUAGGGAAUCUUCCGCAAUGGGUGAAAGCCUGACGGAGCAACGCCGCGUGAGUGAUGAAGGUCUUCGGAUCGUAAAACUCUGCUAUUAGGGAAGAACAAAUGUGUAAGUAACUAUGCACGUCUUGACGGUACCUAAUCAGAAAGCCACGGCUAACUACGUG